UGACCAGACUCCUACGGGAGGCAGCAGUGGGGGAUAUUGCACAAUGGGGGGAACCCUGAUGCAGCGACGCCGCGUGGGUGAAGGAGUAUUUCGGUAUGUAAAGCCCUAUCGGCAGGGAAGAAGCAAGACGGUACCUGACUAAGAAGCCCCGGCUAACUACGUGCCAGUAGCCGCGGUAAUACGUAGGGGGCGAGCGUUAUCCGGAUUCACUGGGUGUAAAGGGAGCGUAGACGGCCAAGCAAGCCAGGGGUGAAAGCCCGGGGCUCAACCCCGGGACUGCAUUUGAAACUGUCAGGCUGGAGUGCAGGAGAGGUAAGUGGAAUUCCUAGUGUAGCGGUGAAAUGCGUAGAUAUUAGGAGGAACACCAGUGGCGAAGGCGGCUUACUGGACUGUAACUGACGUUGAGGCCCGAAAGCGUGGGGAGCAAACAGGAUUAGAUACCCUGGUA
rnacentral:rRNA from 1 species